rnacentral:lncRNA from 12 species
UAAAGGAUUUGGUAUGAUCCAUUCCUCCCUGUGUCAGUGGUUUGGUCUGUAUUCAGAAGGUCAGAUUACUCUGUGUGUGUCUCAUCCUGCACACAGAUGCGCAAUACUGUGACCGGCUGCAUAAACUCAUCACAAACGUCUGUGUGCAAGAGACCGACAUGGAAAGAGCUUCAUUCUAAGAGUUUUUCCCAGAAGGAAAUCUUUGAGUCAAAGACGAGCGUCCUGCAAACAUGUUCAGCACCAAAAGGUCAGAGCGACACUGGUUUGUUGUCUGUUUUUGUGAUCUUUUAUGAAAAAGUACAGCAACUUGUAGACUCUUAAAGGCUUGAUAAAUCACCUGCAGAUUAAUGGAAAUACAUGUACUUGAGUUUGUGUAAUAAUUUAGCAUUUUUUUUCUGAAUGUAGGGUUCACCUAUAAAUUUUUGUCACAAUGUUUGUUUUUUCACCAUGUUUUUUCCUUUCAAAACAUAUUAUGAGAAAUGAAGUCAGUUUUUUGAACUAAGAAAACAUACUGUAGGUUUCAGUUGCUCAUCAGUCUGAAGAUAUCCUUCAUGG